GACGAACGCUGGCGGCGUGCUUAACACAUGCAAGUCGAACGGAAAGGCCCUGCUUUUGUGGGGUGCUCGAGUGGCGAACGGGUGAGUAACACGUGAGUAACCUGCCCCUGACUUUGGGAUAACUUCAGGAAACUGGGGCUAAUACCGGAUAGGAGCUCCUGCUGCAUGGUGGGGGUUGGAAAGUUUCGGCGGUUGGGUAUGGACUCGCGGCUUAUCAGCUUGUUGGUGGGGUAGUGGCUGACCAAGGCUUUGACGGGUAGCCGGCCUGAGAGGGUGACCGGCCACAUUGGGACUGAGAUACGGCCCAGACUCCUACGGGAGGCAGCAGUGGGGAAUAUUGCACAAUGGGCGGAAGCCUGAUGCAGCAACGCCGCGUGCGGGAUGACGGCCUUCGGGUUGUAAACCGCUUUCGCCUGUGACGAAGCGUGAGUGACGGUAAUGGGUAAAGAAGCACCGGCUAACUACGUG
rnacentral:rRNA from 1 species